CGGAUAGAUUCUUUCCUCUCAUGAGGAAAGAAGGAAAGACGGUUUCGGCUGUCACUUAUAGAUGGGCCCGCGGCGCAUUAGCUAGUUGGUAAGGUAACGGCUUACCAAGGCGACGAUGCGUAGCCGACCUGAGAGGGUGAUCGGCCACACUGGGACUGAGACACGGCCCAGACUCCUACGGGAGGCAGCAGUAGGGAAUCUUCCGCAAUGGACGAAAGUCUGACGGAGCAACGCCGCGUGAGUGAUGAAGGUUUUCGGAUCGUAAAACUCUGUUGUUAGGGAAGAACAAGUACGAGAGUAACUGCUCGUACCUUGACGGUACCUAACCAGAAAGCCACGGCUAACUACGUGCCAGCGGCCGCGGUAAUACGUAGGUGGCAAGCGUUGUCCGGAAUUAUUGGGCGUAAAGCGCGCGCAGGCGGUCCUUUAAGUCUGAUGUGAAAGCCCACGGCUCAACCGUGGAGGGUCAUUGGAAACUGGGGGACUUGAGUGCAGGAGAGAAGAGUGGAAUUCCACGUGUAGCGGUGAAACGCGUAGAGAUGUGGAGGAACACCAGUGGCGAAGGCGACUCUUUGGCCUGUAACUGACGCUGAGGCGCG
rnacentral:rRNA from 1 species